rnacentral:pre_miRNA from 1 species
AUACUGGACCUGAUCCAAAGCCCAUUGAAGCCAAUGGGAGUCUUUCUGUUGCCAUCAAUGGGUUUUAGAUCAGGCCCACUGUAU